CCUACGGGUGGCUGCAGUGAGGAAUAUUGGUCAAUGGGCGGAAGCCUGAACCAGCCAAGUAGCGUGCAGGAUGACGGCCCUACGGGUUGUAAACUGCUUUUAUACGGGAAUAACGCGCCUUACGUGUAGGGCUUUGCAUGUACCGUAUGAAUAAGGACCGGCUAAUUCCGUGCCAGCAGCCGCGGUAAUACGGAAGGUCCGGGCGUUAUCCGGAUUUAUUGGGUUUAAAGGGAGCGUAGGCCGCAUGUCAAGCGUGCUGUGAAAUGUCCGGGCUCAACCCGGGCCUUGCAGCGCGAACUGGCGUGCUUGAGUCCGCGGAAAGCAGGCGGAAUUCGUCGUGUAGCGGUGAAAUGCUUAGAUAUGACGAAGAACCCCGAUUGCGAAGGCAGCUUGCUGGGACGCAACUGACGCUCAUACACGAAAGCGUGGGGAGCAAACAGGAUUAGAUACCCUGGUAGUC
rnacentral:rRNA from 1 species